GAAUGGCGGAAAGGGAGGGAGGAGAGGAAGAAGAGAACGUGAGGGGGAAGAGGAAAGGGGGGGCAAGCGGUGGAAAACGGUGGGAAAGGAAUUGGAAGAUGAAAAAUCCAAGGAAAAAUUGUCUGGAAAAGCCAAAAUUUUGGGAAUUUUUGGUGUUGUUGGAAAUUUCAAUGAAGGUUUUCGGGGCGGGUUGAAAAUGGUGGAAAAAAACAGAAAAAAUAAUAAAAAACCAGCAAAAAACCACAAAAA